AUGGUUGCAGGUGGUGGCACUCACAAGAGGCCUGCUGCUGACAUAAUGCACCAAGAGGAGCCUGCAAACACAGAUGCAAAAAAUGAUCAUCACAUAGCCAUCUAUUUCAUCGACUCACCCCAACAAACUCAAAGACAAGUCCUGGGUGACAAGACCAAUGGCCAGGAGGAUUACUCCUUUCAGCACCACCUGCAAACACCAAGCUCGCCGCCCUGCUACUCCACCGACCACAUGCUCCGCGCUGCUGCUGACCAAAGACACUACAAUACCAACAAUGGCUCCCCUUCUUCUUCUUCUUCUUCUUCUUCUUCUUCUUCUUCUUCUUCUUCUUCUUCUUCUUCUUCUUCUUCUUCUUCUUCUUCUUCUUCUUCUUCUUCUUCUUCUUCUUCGCAGCAGCAGCAGCAGCAGCAGCAUGAACACUCUUCCCGCCCACCACGAAGAAGACAGUCCAGAACAAGGCGACGCUUGGCGGCAGCGGUGCCGUUCGUGAGGAAGAUCAAGUGGGGACCACUGUGGGAUAAGUCCAAGGAGUGGAUCAAGAACCCCAUGAACAUGGCCCUCUUCGUGUGGAUCGUCGCCGUCGGCGUCUCUGGCGCCAUCCUCUUCAUGGUGAUGACCGGGAUGCUCAACGCCGUCCUGCGGACCAAGUCGCACAAGGACACGUGGUUCGAGGUCAACAACCAGAUAUUGAAUGCAUUGUUCACCCUCAUGUGCCUCUACAACCAUCCCAGAAGGUUCUACCACCUGGCGCUGCUGUGCCGGUGGCGGGCCGGCGACAUGGCCGCGCUCCGGGAGGUCUACUGCAAGGGCGGCACCGUCAAGCCCAACGAGAGGAGGCACAUGAUGGUUGUGAUCCUGCUGCUCCACCUCAACUGCUUGGCGCAGUACGCGCUCUGCGGCCUCAACCUUGGGCUCUCCAGGACCCGCCGGCCUCCCGUGGGCGUCGGCCUCACCGUGUCAGUCGCCAUCUGCGCGCCCGCCGUCGCCAGCAUGUACAACAACCUCAGCCCCCUGGGCAAAGACUACGAGGUCCAGGCCGCCGACGACGAGGAGCAGGAGUCUUCUUCUUCGGGCUCGCGGCAGCGGCUCCAGCACAAGACCGUGGAGAGGAGGUACUCCUUCUCCCCCUCUCCGCCGCAGCGACAAGGACUAGAAAUGGCCGCUGUUGUCGUCGCCGUCGGCGCGGAAGAAGAUGGUAUGUUAUCGCCGGAGUGGUCCGGCGGGCUGGUGGCGGACCUGUGGGAGGACAUCUCGCUGGCGUACCUGUCCCUGUUCUGCAGCUGCUGCGUGUUCGGGUGGAACGCGGGGCGUCUGGGGUUCGGCAACGCGUACGUGCACGCGGCGACCUUCAUCCUGCUGUGCCUGGCGCCCUUCUUCAUCUUCACCCUGGCGGCCAUCAACAUCGACAACGAGGCGGCCAGGCUGGCGCUCAGCCUUGGCGGCACCCUGCUCUGCGUCCUUGGCCUGCUGUACGGCGGGUUCUGGAGGAUCCAGAUGCGCCGGAGGUUUGGGCUCCCCGGCAGUGGGUUCUGUUGCGGCAGGCCGGACGUGACGGACUGCUUCCAGUGGCUCUUCUGCUGCCCCUGCUCCCUCGCCCAGGAGGUCAGGACCGCCGACGCCUACGACAUUGUGCAGCACAGGAUGGUGUCUCGCCGCCGACCCGGAGACGGCGACGACCAAGAAGAAGAUGCCAGCAGUAGCUCCCGGGUCCAGAUGCAGCAGCCACUGAGGUUUGCAGGCGUUUUCGCUUCAGAUGGUGGGGUGACCAACACCAACACCAUAGUUUUAAAUAGCGCGCUAAGCAUCUUAGCGGCGGACCUCUUUCAAAUGCUAUAG
rnacentral:rRNA from 1 species